rnacentral:rRNA from 1 species
CCCAGCUUGCUGGGUGGAUCAGUGGCGAACGGGUGAGUAACACGUGAGCAACCUGCCCUCCACUUCGGGAUAAGCCUUGGAAACGGGGUCUAAUACCGGAUAUGAGCCUGCAUCGCAUGGUGUGGGUUGGAAAGUUUUUCGGUGGGGGAUGGGCUCGCGGCCUAUCAGCUUGUUGGUGGGGUGAUGGCCUACCAAGGCGUCGACGGGUAGCCGGCCUGAGAGGGCGACCGGCCACACUGGGACUGAGACACGGCCCAGACUCCUACGGGAGGCAGCAGUGGGGAAUAUUGCACAAUGGGCGAAAGCCUGAUGCAGCGACGCCGCGUGAGGGAUGACGGCCUUCGGGUUGUAAACCUCUUUCAGCAGGGAAGAAGCGCAAGUGACGGUACCUGCAGAAGAAGCGCCGGCUAACUACGUGCCAGCAGCCGCGGUAAUACGUAGGGCGCAAGCGUUGUCCGGAAUUAUUGGGCGUAAAGAGCUCGUAGGCGGUCUGUCGCGUCUGGUGUGAAAUCCCGAGGCUCAACCUCGGGCUUGCAUCGGGUACGGGCAGACUAGAGUGCGGUAGGGGAGACUGGAAUUCCUGGUGUAGCGGUGGAAUGCGCAGAUAUCAGGAGGAACACCGAUGGCGAAGGCAGGUCUCUGGGCCGCAACUGACGCUGAGGAGCGAAAGCAUGGGGAGCGAACAGGAUUAGAUACCCUGGUAGUCCAUGCCGUAAACGUUGGGCACUAGGUGUGG